AGGCCGGGGGAAGGAGCUCCCGGUGUCGGAGUUUGUGAAGAGCGGGGACAGUGAGCUACUAGGGGGAAGCUGGACUGACAUAAAUGGGUUUUAUAAGCUCCUUUUCUAGGAGGCGAGAAGGGGAGGAUCUUCCACCUGCAAUCCGGAGAAAUGUUUCUCUUCCCAGUCUCCAUUCUGCAACCACGCAGUUGGGGGUUUAUAAACUUAAAAUAAUGCAGCCAUUGGAGCCUUUGAGGAAGGCUUAUCAGUUUAAAAUGAUCAGUGUUUUGGACGGGGCGAAAAUGUAGAGAAUGUUUCCAAAUGAAAUUUCUUCACUUGGAAUGAUUAAAAUGGAAUUCAGCAAACUGUGUUCAAAAGUCAACUAGAAUGGUAUGAGGAAAAAGGGAUGACAAAAAAAGUCAGAAAACUGAGAUGAGAUGAAUGAAAUGGAAGGGAAGACAUAAAAUCAGCAGAGUAAUUGGACUGAACAGCCUGUUUGUUUAUUUCAUACUCUGAUUAUUUCAUUUUAAACUCUUUUUGCAGGCUAUUCAGAAGGUUGUAUUUACAUCCAGGAGGUGAAAAAAUGCAUCACAUCAAAAUCUGACACUCACUCAAUUCAUCAGAAUGUGGGCAUUGUUGGCCUGCGAAUGUGCAGGGAGAAAUGCAUAUCUCUGAGCAAAUCAUCAGUGUGACUGCAAAAGCACUGAGACACACAGACUCGAGGGAUAAUUUGAAAGAGUAUUAAUUGGUUCCUCAGCCUGAAAAUUAAUUACACCAUUCACAACAGGGAGAGACUUGUCCAUGUGAUCUGUCUGUGGACAUCAGUUUCAGUCAAUCAUUGAACCUGGAAAGAAUUAAGGACACUGACACCAUGGAGAAACCGUGGAAAUGUGGUGACUGUGGGAAGGGAUUCCGUUACCCAUCAGGAUUAGAAACUCAUCAGCGCACACACACUGGGGAGAGACCUUUUAGCUGCUCGGUGUGCGGAAAGGGAUUUACUCAGUCGUCCAGCCUCUACACACACCAGCACGUUCACACUGGAGAGAAGCCAUUCACUUGCCCCGUGUGUGGGCAGGGAUUUAAUGCUUUGUCAACCCUCCGGACUCACGAACAGGUUCAUUCUAAUGAGAGACCGUUUAAAUGUUCUGACUGUGAGAAGAGCUUUAAAAGCAGAAAGGAUAUAUUGAUACAUCAACGCAGUCACACUGGGGAGAGACCAUUCAUCUGCAAAGUGUGUGGGAAAGGAUUCACUCAAUCAUCCCAUCUCCUGACACACCAACUUGUUCACACGGAUGAGAGACCCUUUAAAUGUUCAGACUGUUUGAAGAGCUUUAAAAGUAAAAAGGAUUUGCUGAACCACCAACGUGCUCUGACUGGGGAGAGACCAUUCAUCUGCUCUGUGUGUGGGAAGGGAUUCACUAGUUCAUCUUACCUUCUGACACAUCAACUUGUUCACACUGAUGAGAGACCUUUUGGCUGCCCUGACUGUGAGAAGAAAUUUAAAAGCAGAAAGCAUCUUCUUAAACACCAGUACAUUCACACAGGAGAGAGGCCAUUCCCCUGCUCUGUCUGUGGGAAAGGAUUCACUCGAUUAUCCCACCUGCUGAGACACCGUCGAGUUCACACUGGGGAGAGGCCAUUCUCCUGUGCUGACUGCAAACAAGAAUUUGUUGAUUCAUCCGACCUUCUGAUUCACCAGCGAGUUCACACUGGGGAGAGACCAUACAUCUGCUCACUGUGUGGCAAGAGAUUCACUCAAUCAUCCCACUUGACCACACACCAACUUGUUCACACUGAUGAGAGACCUUUUCAGUGUUCUGACUGCGAAAAGAGGUUUAAAAGUAAACAGAAUCUGCUGAAACAUCAACAAAUUCACACGGGGGAGGGGCCGUUCAUGUGCUCCUUGUGUGGGAAAGGAUUCGCUCAGUCACACAACCUCCUGAGACACCAGCAGCUUCACCUAGGAGAGCAGCAACUGGAUUCUGCUGUUAAUUGCAUCCAGGACUGAACCUUGUCUGGCUGCUCAUUCCCACUGGGUUCCAUAGUUAUGUGAAAUAUACCAAGGAUUUAGACUUUAAUGUAGAGGCUGUGAUGAAGAAAUUUGUAGAUAGCAAAGAAGUUGUGGUAGCCAGUAUGGAAUAAAGCUGUAGACUGUAUGAUGUCAAUAGAGAACUCAGAGACAGAAACAUGGCUCAUGGAAUUAAUUCUGGAGAUAAUGAAUCUGGGAGGGAAGGCGGCCAACAGGGCAAAGGAAAUACACAGUAACUGGCUGGAUACUGAGAAAUGUCGAGGCACAUCGAGAACUCAGAGUGGCAUCCACAGAUCCUUAAGGUGGCUGGACAGGCAGAUUUUCAGCAUCUGCUGAAUUUACAACCAAGUCUGGAAACACAGAUGCACCUAUUGCCGGUAUGAACACAAGCAGCUGUAUUUUGGAUCACCUCAAAAUUACCGUGAGGCCAGUUGGGAAGAUUUUCUUAAUUUCAUUCACAAGAUGAGGGUGUUGCUGGUUACACCAGCAUUUGUUACCCAUUACUAAUUGCCCAGAGGGCAGUUUAAGAGAGAACCCUGUUGCUGUCGGUCUGAGGUCACAUGCAGGCUGGACCAGUUUCAAUGGAGGAUAUUUCUGCCUGUCCAGUUCUGGAUGUCUGACAGCUCAGGAUGGUGUGAGAUUUGGAUGGAAUUUGGAGGUGAUAGUGUUCACGUCCAUCUGCUACCCUGGCCCUUCUAGAAAGUGAAGCUGGAGAGUUUGGGAGAUUCUUUUCAAGGUGCUGGUCAAGUUGCAUUGGAAGAGGAUUGCAGACUGGAAAUUCAAACCAAGUGCCACAUCUACAUCUGACAGAAUCCAUUCAACUCUGAAUGUCAGCAGUCUCUGACAAUAGAAGGAGAAAUGGUUUCAGUUAUGUCAAAAGGAGAAGAUAUCAAACGUCAGUCAGACUGGAAAGGCAACAAGACACACAAACAUAACUGAAGGAGACUGUUCUAUAACACACCCUGGAAGAAAAGUGUCACAUAUUUGUAGCAAAGAGAAACUGCACAUGUAUAGGUGACACUUCAACUGAUCAUCCAAACUGGGGAGACACCAGGGCAUAUAGCCAUGGAGAAAUGGUGGAAAUGGGGUGGCUGUGGGGAAGGAUUCAAUUACCCAUCUCAAUUGGAAAUUCAUCGGCUCAGUCACACUGGGGAGAGACUAUUCACCUGCUCUGUGUGUGGGAAGGGAUUUAUCCAUUCGUGCAACCUUCUGACACAUCAGCAAGUUCACACUGAGGAGAGGCCAUUCACCUCUCCUGUGUGUGGAAAGGGAUUUGAUCGAUCAUCACACAUUGUGACUCACCAACUUAGUCCGUUUAAAUGUCCAAACUGUGAGAAGGGUUAGCUGCAGAAAGGGUCUGAUGACGCAUCAACGUCUCCACACCAGGAAGAGGCCAAUCACCUGCUGUGUCUGUGGGACAGUAUUCACUCAGUCAUCCCAUCUUCAGGAAUGCCAAUUUGCUCAUUCUGAUAACAAGCUUUUUAAUUGUUCUGACUGCGAGAAAAGCCUUAAAAGCAAAAAAACAGGACCUGCUGUCACACCAAUAUACUCAUACAGAAGUGAGGCUAUUCACCUGCUGUGUGUGUGAGAAAGGAUUCACUCGUCCAUGUGGCCUGCUGUAUCACCAGCGGAUUCACACUGGGGAGAGACCAUUCACCUGAACUUUUUCUAGGAAGGGAUUCAUUAAUUCACCCAAAUUUCUGAUACACCAGCAACUUCACACAAGAGAUAGACCUUUCACCUGCUCUGAUAGUGGGAAGGGAUUUACUGGUUUGUGUAACCUUCUGAGACAUCAGCAAGUUCGUAUGAAAGAGAAGCCUUUAUCUGCCUUGUGUGUGGAAAUGGAUUCACUCGAUCCUCCAAUCUAAUGAAUUACCAGCGAGUUCAUUCUGGAGAGAAGCCAUUCAUUUAUCUAACAUGUGGGAAGGGAUUUACUCAGUCAUCCAACCUGAUGAAAACACCGGCAAAUUCACACUUGUGAGAGGCCAUUCACGUGUAAUGCUUGUGGGUGGGGAUUCAUUCAGCCAGCCCACCUGCAAACACACCAGUGAGUUCAUUAGAAAUGCAAGGUUUGAAUUCUGCACUUGCUGAUGCUGCUGACCACAUCCAGGAAUCUGUUCAUUCUGAUGAUCCUGAUUUGUUGAUAGGUUUAUAUAUUGUGCAAAAAUGUAAAAUUAGUCAACUUUUCUUGAGACAUUUUUGUAACUUCUGUCUUUGCCACCUGAGUGUUUAACAUCACCUGCCUGGAUUAUAAAGGACAAUCUGGGAAGAGGAUCACAUGUCAGAAACAGCCCUUUAGCUUGGGUACAGUCCAGGAGGGUCACAUUGACAGUGACAAAUGGGGCUUUCAUCUUUGCCAUCUCUCUUCACUUACAGUUGUUAUCGUAAUUUCAAUGUUGAAGUGCAUUAGAAAUAGAUUUGAGUCGUUCUCUUCCUUGGUUCGGAGUGCUAGACACAGAUUAGCAGCUUCCUUGCAAAUGUGUCAGGAAGAAUAAUGAUGAAUGCUGGAAACAUGCUGGAAAAUCAGACGUUGGUUUCAAAACUGUGAAUUGUUUCAGAGUACAAAACAAAGAGUUGCAGAUGUUGGAGAUCUGAAACACAUAGAUGUGUGUGUUUCUGAUCUAGUUUGACUGAAACAGCAGGUUUAAUUUUCACGCCUGAAAAUGGCACUUGAUAGUUUUGCCACAAUUGAACCUAUUUGUAUUAAAGCCCUGAUGUAUUGACCAAACUCAUUUAAAUUUCUUUAGUUAAAUCUGUAGUAAAAUUGAAGAUGGUGGUGUACAAUUGGAUCUAUAGAUAACUUUUGCAAUGAGAAUAGUUCCAUCCAGAUAAAUAAAGGGCCUGCGUUGUGCCCAAGAAUUUCCUCUAGUAUUGAUAUUGCUUCCAAAUCAUUGUCUUUUAAAUGUAACACAUCAUUACUGGUGAGUCAAUAUUAUCUGGAAUGCAUUCCCUGAAAGACUGAAGGAAGCAAAUUCAAUUGGAACUUUGAAAAGGAAACUGUUCGAAAAAUAAUUUUUUAAAAGCUACAGCGAAAGAUUGGAGAUGUGGAAUAUUUGGUCAGUUGUUUAAAACAGCUGAAUGGAUGGUCCAAAUGGCCUUAUUCUCCUGUCAAAUUCCAUUAUUCAUGGAAUUUCACUCAAAUCAAUCUAAAUCAAUACAAUUUCAUUAUUGAAGUUGGUGUUGGAGUUAUUAGCAUUUGGAAGGUUAACAGCAGCGGUGUUAGCCAAUGUUAUGGUCAACCUGUAGUUCUGAAUCUAAUUUCAAAAUCACUAGAUUCUGGAUUUGACAUCUGAUGCACAGCCUGGUUAGAUUAAUCAGAUAUUCAAUAAAGCAGUGAUAAAAAAAGCCAUUUUUCUGGGAACGAUCUGAACCAAUAAAAGACACCAAUUUUGUUUCUGUUGGA